AUUGAACGCUGGCGGCAGGCCUAACACAUGCAAGUCGAACGAGUGGCGGACGGGUGCGUAAUGUCUGGGAAACUGACAGCUGGCGGGGGAUAACUACUGGAAACGGUAGCUAAUACCGCAUACUAUCGGAUGUGCCCAGAUGGGAUUAGCUAGUAGGUGGGGUAAAGGCCUACCAAGGAGACGACCCCUAGCCGGUCUGAGAGGACGACCAGCCACACUGGGACUGAGACACGGUCCAGACUCCUACGGGAGGAAGCAGAGGGAAAUAUUGCACAAUGGGGGCAAGCCUGAUGCAGCCAUGCGGCGGGGAUGAAGAGGGCCGUCGGGUUGUAAAGUACUUUCAGCAGGGAGGCGUUACCCGCAGAAGAAGCACCGGCUAACGCCGUGCCAGCAGCCGCGGUAAUUC
rnacentral:rRNA from 1 species